AGCUUGCUACCAGGCGUCGAGCGGCGGACGGGUGAGUAAUACUUAGGAAUCUACCUAGUAGUGGGGGAUAGCUCGGGGAAACUCGAAUUAAUACCGCAUACGACCUACGGGAGAAAGGGGGCAGUUUACUGCUCUCGCUAUUAGAUGAGCCUAAGUCGGAUUAGCUAGAUGGUGGGGUAAAGGCCUACCAUGGCGACGAUCUGUAGCUGGUCUGAGAGGAUGAUCAGCCACACCGGGACUGAGACACGGCCCGGACUCCUACGGGAGGCAGCAGUGGGGAAUAUUGGACAAUGGGGGAAACCCUGAUCCAGCCAUGCCGCGUGUGUGAAGAAGGCCUUUUGGUUGUAAAGCACUUUAAGCAGUGAAGAAGACUCCGUGGUUAAUACCCACGGACGAUGACAUUAGCUGCAGAAUAAGCACCGGCUAACUCUGUGCCAGCAGCCGCGGUAAUACAGAGGGUGCAAGCGUUAAUCGGAAUUACUGGGCGUAAAGGGAGCGUAGGUGGCUCGAUAAGUCAGAUGUGAAAUCCCCGGGCUCAACCUGGGAACUGCAUCUGAUACUGUUGAGCUAGAGUAUGUGAGAGGAAGGUAGAAUUCCAGGUGUAGCGGUGAAAUGCGUAGAGAUCUGGAGGAAUACCGAUGGCGAAGGCAGCCUUCUGGCAUAAUACUGACACUGAGGCUCGAAAGCGUGGGUAGCAAACAGGAUUAGAUACCCUGGUAGUCCACGCCGUAAACGAUGUCUACUAGUCGUUGGGUCCCUUGAGGACUUAGUGACGCAGCUAACGCAAUAAGUAGACCGCCUGGGGAGUACGGCCGCAAGGUUAAAACUCAAAUGAAUUGACGGGGGCCCGCACAAGCGGUGGAGCAUGUGGUUUAAUUCGAUGCAACGCGAAGAACCUUACCUGGUCUUGACAUAUCUAGAAUCCUGCAGAGAUGCGGGAGUGCCUUCGGGAAUUAGAAUACAGGUGCUGC
rnacentral:rRNA from 1 species